rnacentral:lncRNA from 1 species
CUGACUUUCUAGACACACCCAUGCAGGUGAUAUGAAGCAAGUUGAAGCUAAAAUCUGCAGGACACCGUCCCUCCAGGACCAAGUUUGGGCACUCCUGCUUUAAACUAUUAAACAUGCUAAUAAAAGUCACUUUUUAAAAACUUUUCAGGGUUAAAAGUUGUCAGAAGAAAGAUCAAGCUCCCAUAAUGCAAUUCAAAAGCAUUAAUAAAUGGGUGAAAACAAAAACACAAAUCACAAAAUACAGAAAUCUGCUAAUUUACGGACAUUGUUUACAGUGUAUGACGUAUGUUAACCUGUUGUACAGAUGUGCAUGACAGUAGUAUUGUGAAAUAAAGUUACAGUAUUAAACACAUAAUAAUCUUUUCGGUCUUCGCUCAAGUGGGGAGAACUGCAAUGGUGUUGUUUUCUAUUUUACAUCCGACCUUUUCCUUGAUGCUUUUGAUGUUACUUCAUCACACAUGGUUUGUUUCGCUCUAGAUUUCAUUAGGACUGAUGGCUAGUAAUAUCUCCACCUGACGUGUAUGUAAAAGUGCUCUGUUUGUGAUGUCCAUAACCACGAUUAGCUUUUUGUUGUUGUAUUUAUGAAGUGUCUGGUGCUCUUUUGAGACUGAUUUUUGAUAAAACAAAACGAUUUCAGCAAUGACAUAACCUUUACACAUUGUAAAUAUAGCUGUGAGUUUAUAUCAGUCAGUGUGUUCUGUUCCACUCAAAGUUGUUUUCCAGUGAUUCUGUCUAAACAUACCGUGUUACUUUUGUUUUUCUUUUUAACCGCUGGACUAUGCGUCACAGUUUUGUGUUAUUGAAUACACCUGAUCUGAUGAUAAUAAACUAUUAUCACUCAAAA